rnacentral:rRNA from 1 species
UCCUGGCUACAGAACGAACGCUGGCGGCGCGCCUAAUACAUGCAAGUCGAGCGAGAAGGUGUAGCAAUACACUUGUAAAGCGGCGAACGGGUGAGGAAUACAUGGGUAAUCUACCAUCGAGUGGGGAAUAACCAGCCGAAAGGUUGGCUAAUACCGCGUACGCUUCCGAGUCUUCGGGCUUGGAAGGAAAGCCGCACUGUGAGUGCGGCGCUCUUUGAUGAGCUCAUGUCCUAUCAGCUUGUUGGUAGGGUAACGGCCUACCAAGGCUUUGACGGGUAGCUGGUCUGAGAGGACGAUCAGCCACACUGGCACUGCGACACGGGCCAGACUCCUACGGGAGGCAGCAGUAAGGAAUAUUGCGCAAUGGGCGAAAGCCUGACGCAGCGACGCCGCGUGGGGGAUGAAGGUCUUCGGAUUGUAAACCCCUUUCGGGAGGGAAGAUGGAGCGAGCAAUCGUUCGGACGGUACCUCCAGAAGCAGCCACGGCCAACUUCGUG